GUGGCUCCAAUGACACGGUUUAGCGUCCACCAAGCAUCUGAUUUUGUUUCACCGGUCCCACUCUGUUCUGUGCUGUCUAAAGAAAUGGAAGAAAAAAGUAUUUUUACUGUUGCUGAGGCUGGCUACCGGAGCACCAGACAAACAACCCCACAAUAACAACGAAGAUCCCAUGUACUGACAGACCAUGGACAGCGGUGUAUUACUGAAGCGGUGAAAUAAUUACAAGUUGAUACACAGACCGUGUCUUGGGUGGGAAUCCCCACCGAUGUAAUCUUCACUGAGUUAGGAGUUAUAGUAUAAGUAAUAGCACCUACUUGUCUAAGUUGCAUCCAUACCCUUUGCCUCUGAUGAGGAAAAUACCUUAAACAGAAAGAUCUUAGUCAUUUUUUUAAAUUUAAUUUCAUUCUUCCUGCUUUCUAAAACACAUGUCCAGCAGCAAAACAUGGAAAGAUAUAGAACAUGUUUUGACUGAUCCAGUAACUUGACACAUCCUGUGUUAAUAAAAUCAGUGAGGAUGUGAAGAUGAAA